rnacentral:tRNA from 4 species
GCGCCCUUCGUCUAGCGGUUAGGACGCCGCCCUUUCACGGCGGUAACACGGGUUCGAGUCCCGUAGGGCGUACCA